CGGGUAAACAAUAAGGGCGUACGGAGGAUGCCUUGACACUAAGAGGCGAUGAAGGAGGUGGCGUGACUGCCUUAAGCUUCGGGGAGCCGUCUAGCGGGCUUUGAUCCGGAGAUUUCCGAAUGGGGAAACCCAGCACAGUAAACCUGUGUUAUCUCGCGCAAGCGAGAUGCGUACCCGGUGAAGUGAAACAUCUCAGUAACCGGAGGAAAAGAAAUAGAAUAGAUCCCCUUAGUAGCGGCGAGCGAAAAGGGAACAGCCUAAACCUGUUGUUGGUUAGCAAUAAUUAAUGACGGGGGUUAUAGGGACAGUACAUUUUUUAAAUCAUGUAACAUGAAACAUGUAACAAUAAUAUGUUGCGUGUCGCGUGUUAUAUGAUUUGAAAUAGAAAGUUACAAAUCCGAGUGUUAGCAGAACGGCCCUGGAACGGCCGACCAAAGAAGGUGAUAGUCCUGUAAGCGAAAACAAUCGGACUUUCGUAUUGUUACCUGAGUAGCCCGAGAUAAGAAUGUCUUGGGUGAAUUUGUCCAUACUACUGGAUAAGGCUAAAUACUCUUAGUGAUCGAUAGUGAACAAGUACCGUGAGGGAAAGGUGAAAAGCACCCCGGUGAGGGGAGUGAAAUAGUAACUGAAACCGUAUGCCUACAAAGAGCGGGAGCGUGCUUCGCACGCAGUUCAUAAAGUAAAUUCAAAACUUUAUAACUUUACAAACUUUAUAAACUUAUGACUUGCGCGCGGAGCGUGUGACCGUGUGCCUAUUGAAGAAUGACCCAACGAGUUUAUUUAAACUGCUAACUAUAAGUUCCUUUGGAACGAAUGGAUAGGGAAACCAAGUGUUAAAAGCGCGAAUUCCAACUCAAAUUUUUGGAAAGAAAAAGCAACCAUCAAGGUUGCUGUUAUGAUUGACACAGCUUGUUAUUGGGACCGGAAAAAUCUUUCAAGAUAUACUCCCGCGCCGAUUCCAACUAUAAGUUGCGACAAUACAUGGAAAUAAGAACAAUUAGAAAUGGGCAAGAGACCUAAAAUCAACAAAGAAAUACCAAAGAACAAAUUUCUAUUUUUCAUGCUAAUCUCCUAAUAAGAUAUUAGCAUUUAGCUUGUAUUUUGUCAAAUAAUCGUUAAUUUCUAAAAAUUUGAGUUGGAUAUGCAGUUUUGAUAAGACCCGAAGCCAGGCGAGCUAACCAUGCCCAGGGUGAAGCUCUUCGAAAGAAGAGUGGAGGCCCGAACUGGUUGAUAGCGCAAUAUCAUCGGAUGAGGUGUGGUUGGAAGUGAAAAGCUUAUCGAGCUUGGUAAUAGCUGGUUCUCCCCGAAAUGCCUUUGGGGGCAGCGUCGUAUAGUAAUAGAGGGGGUAGAGCACUGAAUGGUUCGCCGUGCCCUUAUGGGUAGGUUUACCAAACAAACUCCGAAUACCUCUGUGGAAUAUACGGCAGUGAGUACGCGAGGGCAAAGCUUCGUGUAGGCGAGGGCAAGAGCCCAGAUCACCGCUUAAGGUCCCAAAAUGCAAGCUAAGUGAGAAGGAAGUAUUUUGCCUUAGACAGGUAGGAGGUUGGCUUAGAAGCAGCCACCCUUUAAAGAGUGCGUAACAGCUCACUACUCGAACUCCGAUUUAUCGGGGAAGGCAAAGUGCGCCGAAAAUGUAACGGGGCUAAGCAUAGUACCGAAAUUGUGGAUUCGGUCGCCUUUGGCGACCGAGUGGUAGGGGAGCAUUCUCAACUGCUGUGAAGGUGAACUGUGAAGUUUGCUGGAGCGUUGAGAAGGGAGAAUGUUGGGAUGAGUAACCGCAAGUGAUGUGAAAACCAUCACCGCCGUAAGUCCAAGGUUUCCUCCGCGAUGGCAAUCAUCGGAGGGUUAGGCGUGCCUAAG
rnacentral:ncRNA from 1 species